UACGGGGGCAAGCGUUGUUCGGAAUUACUGGGCGUAAAGGGCUCGUAGGCGGCCAACUAAGUCAGACGUGAAAUCCCAGGCUCAACCUGGGAACUGCGUCUGAUACUGGAUGGCUUGAAUCCGGGAGAGGGAUGCAGAAUUCCAGGUGUAGCGGUGAAAUGCGUAGAUAUCAGGAGGAACACCUGCGGUGUAGACGGCUUCUGGACCAUAACUACGUG
rnacentral:rRNA from 1 species